rfam:Ascaris lumbricoides genome assembly, scaffold: ALTE_scaffold0004106
GCCGGGCGUUGUGGCGGGCGCCUGUAAUGCAAGUGAGUGGCAGGUAGAUGGUGGUGGAUGGAGUGAGAGGAGGAGUACUGCUGGUUGUUCGGCGGCGGCGACCGAGCGUCCAGACCAAGCGCGGCGUCGAUAAGCUGUCAUCAGGGUAGCUUGGAGACAGCCGGUCGUAUAAUGAGGGGCGCACGGCUCAGGGCCGAAAGGCAGCAGGCAAAAGUCCCCGCGUCGCGACGGUGGUCGGAUAGCGCUUGCGAGUGGUUGGCAUCCAGUAGCCUCCUCAAUACCUCCAGACCCAUCGUCGA